GACGAACGCUGGCGGCGUGCCUAAUACAUGCAAGUCGAACGCAGUGGGGACGGGUGAGUAACACGUGGGUAACCUCCCAUCAGAGGGGAUAACACUUGGAAACAGGUGCUAAACCGAUACUGAUGGAUGGACCCGCGGUGCAUUGGCUAGUUGGUGGGGUAACGGCUCACAAAGGCCACGAUGCAUAGCGGACCGGAGAGGGUGAUCGGACACACUGGGACUGGGACACGGCCCAGCGUCCUACGGAAGGCAGCAUGAGGGAAGCUUGGGCAAUGGACGAAAGUCUGACCGAGAAACGCCGCGUGAGUGAAGAAGGUUUUCGGAUCGUAAAACUCUGUUGUAAGGGAAGCGGUAUCUAACCAGAAAGCCACGGCUAACUACGUGCCAGCAGCCGCGGUAAUUC
rnacentral:rRNA from 1 species